rnacentral:rRNA from 1 species
AUUGAACGCUGGCGGUAUGCCUUACACAUGCAAGUCGAACGGUAACAGGUCUUCGGAUGCUGACGAGUGGCGAACGGGUGAGUAAUACAUCGGAACGUGCCUAGUAGUGGGGGAUAACUACUCGAAAGAGUGGCUAAUACCGCAUGAGAUCUACGGAUGAAAGCAGGGGAUCGCAAGACCUUGUGCUACUAGAGCGGCCGAUGGCAGAUUAGGUAGUUGGUGGGAUAAAAGCUUACCAAGCCGACGAUCUGUAGCUGGUCUGAGAGGACGAUCAGCCACACUGGGACUGAGACACGGCCCAGACUCCUACGGGAGGCAGCAGUGGGGAAUUUUUGACAAUGGGCGAAAGCCUGAUCCAGCAAUGCCGCGUGCAGGAUGAAGGCCUUCGGGUUGUAAACUGCUUUUGUACGGAACGAAAAGACCUGGGUUAAUACCCUGGGGUCAUGACGGUACCGUAAGAAUAAGCACCGGCUAACUACGUGCCAGCAGCCGCAGUAA